rnacentral:misc_RNA from 1 species
AAAUAAUGAGCAGAAGCGAUGCUCGGAGUUAACCCGUAAAUGUUAUGCUUCCAUAAUGCCUUCAUGCCAUAAUCGAUGGCAUUGGCACGGGCACAAGCCUCUGAAACUUUCAUACAGAGAUGAUCAUUGAAAUUAUCCAUUAUGCGAAGGUUUGACAAUCUAAAUACUCGUAGCUUUUGCAAUAUCUGAAAUAGAAGAUUUAUAUCCUCUCGGCUGGAGCAGUUUCCAAUUAAUGACCAUAACCAUGCAUUUGGGGGCAUCGUUCGAGCUUCUACAGAUUUUAGCAUUUUUUGGUAAAGCUCCA